ACGGUAAUAUCUCCGCGCCGCGUUGCCGAUCGACCGACCGACCGAUCCUUCCCGGUCCUGCCCACCCGGUCCGGUCCGGAUCCAGCCCCAACCCACCACCACCAGCUCCACUUCCCUCCGGUUUCCGCCGCCCGCCGAGCCGUCUCCGGCAAGGACCCGGCCGGCGACACGGCCUCUACCCCGGCGGCCAGGCGCGCCCUUUCCUCCCUCCCCGCGCUCCGGUCGUGGCCGGUCUGCUCCUCCUCCUCUCUUCGUCCGGGGCCCCGGGACGUGCCUCUCGCCUCCACCUCCUCGCGUCUGCUUCGGAUUCGCUCCUCCUCGAUUCGUCGCCCGUUUAGGCUUAGAACCGCGCCUGAUUUGGUUUUCGCUCGUGCUCGAUUCGCCCGUUCGGAAUUGCGCCUGGUUUGAUCUUGCUCGUCCUCGCCGUCGUCCGUUUGGGGUCGCGUCCGGUUCGAUUUUGCUCCUCCUCGCCGCCGUCGUCCGUGUAGGGUCGCGUCCGGUUCGAUUCUGCUCGUCCUCGCCGUCGUCCGCUUAGAGUCGUGUCUGGUUCGAUUUUGCUCGUCCUCGCCGUCGUCCGUUUGGGGUCGCGUCCGAUUCGAUUUUGCUCGUCCUCGCCGCCGUCGUCCGUGUAGGCCGCUUCUGGUUUGAUUUCACUCGCCCUCGCCGUGUAGGGUCGCGCCUAGCUCGAUUUCGCUCGUCCUCGCCGUUGUCCCGAUGCGCUCGCGUGUUCUUGGCCCGUCUCGCCUCGUCGGGGGGUCUCCGUCUAGUCUGCGUACUAGCAAUUAUGUCUGCGUGCGCUUCUUCUGUUAUCCGAACUAGCAAUCCUGGGUUUCGUGUUCGCGUCGGUUGCAGGAACGAACGGAACGGGUCUGGUUUCGAAAUUGGAUUACGGCCGGAGACGGGGAGCAGUGUUCGUUUAUCGUGCUAGUUCAGACCGGUUCUUCCGUCCCGUCACCUACGUUGUUCCUGGUGAUUUUCAGAACUCAAACAUAUGCUCUCCUGUGAUACUCUUGUCAAUUCUUGGCCCUCUGUCAGUUCUUGUUGGCCCUCUGUCAAUUCUUGAGUUCCAGGGUCUGUUAAUUGUUGAGUUCUUGUUGUACCGGCUAGGCGUGUGUGUGCUCUCGUCCUAGAUUCAGAGAUGGGGUGAUUCCUUACGCUUGAUCUGAUGGUGUAUACUGUUUAUGUUCUUUCCAGUUUGUUUCUUUUAUCAUGCUUUGCUUGCGUGUCCCGAGCAGAAAAGUUUUGCAAGAGUGCAAACCAUGUGGCCUGCUGCUUGACUAAUUGAACACCUGCUGCUGCUACUGUUGGACAAGGUUCCUUCUUUUCUUCCUGAUGUUGCUAUUUCCAUUGAAGUACUCAUACGAGUUCUAGGUGAGCUGCUGCUAGUUAGUUCCCCUUAGACUACAUUCUAGAUUGCAUAGAAUAACUCCAGUAUUUUGUCAUUGCACACCUGGGCAUAUAAUUCUGUUGUGAGCAUAACUCCUGAAUUUAUUUAUCCAUGAAAGCACGUUCAUCACAUGUUUUUUUUACCAAUGCUGCUAACUUCUGUCAUGUCCCUUUCCUUUGGACAAGAAUUUCAACGAACCUAUAACGUGGACAUGUGCUGCUUGUUUUCUUGUGAUGAUGGUGAUCCAAUUGAGUAGCGCAACUCUUAUGCUCUGACAUUUGUUAAUCCCCAGUUAGUGUGCAUGAAAAAUUAUUGUUUGUCAUGUUAAAUUUUAUGGCAUCAACUCGGUAUUGUGAUUAAUGACUUAGUAUUUGUUUAGUGUAGACAGUUGACUUCUUUUUUCUUAAGUUUUUAGUGAUAUGCGUGUUUUGUUAUGUCUUAUGUGGAUAUCAUAUUCUUUCUUUGUAUUACUAAUGUCCAGUCAAUGGAAAAUGCUUUUCUUGCUUUGCCUAGACUUUGUGACAAUUAACUUAUAGUGCGAUCAUUGAUCAUUGAGCUUCUGACACCCUAUUCCGUAAAAUUCUGUUGUAAUGCUUGCUGGAUCAUUGAGUAGUUAAUAUUGAUUCUGAGUUUGUUGGAUCAUUAACUUCUGCGUGCGCUUCGGUUAUCUGAGAGACACUCACGAUCCUGUGUUUCGUAUUCGUGGCGGAGCGAUGAACGAUUACGUUUCGUAUCCCUGUGUUUCGUGUUCGCCCAUCUGAUUUUGAAUUUAGAUUACGGAGACGGGGAGAGGCCAAAGCAAGGUCAGUUUAUUGUGUUCGCUCAGAUCGGUUCCUCGGUUCCGUCGCUGCGUUGUUCGUCGGCGAUUUCCAUACCUCAAACGCAUGCGCCCUUGUGAUACUCUGGUUUGGCGCGCUGGUCGUUAUGGUUGUUCGUUACGGUUGUUCUUAUGUUCUUGAAUCACCCAUCUUAUGAGCAGAGAUGGGGUGAUACAUUAUGGUUGUUCUGAUGGUUGCUUAUUUAGUGUUCUUUCCAAUUGGGUUCUUCUUGUCAUGCUUUGCUUAUGUUCCCAAUGUCUGUCUUUCCAUAUAUGGGGAUGCGUUCAGGGGUGCAAACUGUGUAGGCCAUGGUGCUUUUUAUACUAGCUAUGGUGUGUUUUAUACUAUCUGAUGUGGAAAGUGGAAUUAUUGAUAUCACUUCUGUGUUAGUAUACUUGGUAUGGUGUGUUUUAUUUAAGUAAUUAACCACAUCUCUUACAAAUUUUCCUUGAGUUACAUGUUUAUAUGGCAGGAGUGAUUGUCUUGACGAAUAAUCAUUUAUGCUAACUUGGUAUUGGCAGUUCCUGAUCGUAGGUAACAGACCAGUACUUUUUUAGUGCAGACAACUGACUAUUCUUUUUUUCUGAACUUCUUUGUGAUAUGUCUGUUAUGUGGAUAUCAUUAGUCUAAUGCUUUUCUAAGUAUUUAAGGUACAGACAUGUGGAUCUGGACAUUUCACAUUUGUUCUUUAUUGUCUUGCUAAGGACACUGAACGGUUUGUCUGGGCCACCGCACAGCCUAGGUAAUCAGGUUGUAGUGAUUAGGGAGAAGCUUGCAGAACUGUAUGAAUUUGAACAACAAUGGUCGAGAGCAGCACAAAUGCUUAGUGGCAUUGACUUGGACUCAGGAGUCAGGAUGCUUGAUGACAAACAAAUUAUCCAAGUGCGUCCAGAUUGCACGCCUCUAUUUGGAGGAUGAUGAUGCAGUGAAUGUUGAAGCUUUUAUCAACAAAGCCUCAUUUUUUGUCACAAACAGCAACCAGGAAGUUCUGAACUUGCAAUACAAGGUAUUGCUAUGCGAGAGUUUUAGAUCUAAAGCGUAAACUCUUGGAAGCUGCACUUCGAUACUAUGGUAUCUCUCAAAUUGAGCAACGCCAAAUUGGGGAUGAGUAAGGCUUACUCCAUUCAGUUGUAGAUUUGUUUCUCUCUUCUGCAAUUUACUCAUUUUUAAUGUUCUGUCUUGUAUGGUUUUUUAUUGCCUUGCCGGAGUAGUGGUACCUAAUUUCUAUUUUGCACCCUUCAAAUAUUUCAAUGUGUUUUUCUUACUGUAUGUAAUAAAUUACCCUACUUGAUACUCAUGUUUAAGUACUGCAGUGGUUAUUAGCAAGUCGUGUUUGGAACUGAUAUGGCCUCCAUAUUUUAUUCUCAAAGAUCUUGAUGGAACAUUGUUUCUGUAUUUUCUCAGAUAGAUUGAUGAAAAUGCUCUUGAGCAAGCUCUUAGUGCUGUUGUAAUAUGCACAAUAUUGUAACUGAUGAGAGGCAGCCACUGUUGCCAACUUGAAAUCAGUUUACUCAUUCAAGUUCUGGAAUUUCUUUAUAGCUUUCUGAGUUUACUUCGGUCUUGCAUGUAUUAGGUUUCUCUUUGUGCCGCUACCUAUGUCUGUUUCUUGUGUGCAAGCGCUCCAUUCUGUGUGUGUGACUCUGUGUGACUUGAUGGUGAAUAUGUGUGUGGCUUGACUCUGUGUUUGUGGCUUUAUUGUGUGUGUGGCUUGACUCUCUCUGUGUGUGGCUGGACUAUGUGUGUAACUGUGUGUGGUUUGAUGGUGAAUAUGUGUGGCUUGACUGUGUGUGUGACUGUUUGUGGCUUGAUGGUGAAUAUGUGUCUGGCUUGACUCUCUGUGUGUGUGUGUGACUGUGUGUGAAAAUUGCAUUUGUUUGAUGGUGUGGCUUGUAUGCUUUGCUGAAUGUUUGGUUGUAUAACUUGUGUUUUAUAUUUCACGAUUGAUUGCUUUGCUGUUUGUUGAAUGUGAACAGACCUAGCACUAUUCUUUUUUCUGAACUUUUUUUUGAUUAUGUCUUAUGUGGAUAUCAUAUUCUUUUUUUUGUAUUACUGCUGUCCAGUCACUGGAAUAAUGCUUUUCUAAGUAUUUAAGGUACAUACAUUGGAUCUGGACAUGUCACAUUGGCUCUUUAUUGUGUUGCUAAGGACACUGAUGGUUGGGUUGAUGGUUGGGUUUGCAUACAACGCAGUAUGGAGCAACAAAUUGGUCUCAUUGCAAGGUCACUACCUGGACGUAUAGGCAUGCAAUGUCAAGACAUCGGAUGUAUGGGAAUAAAUGGGUAGAAAUAGCAAAAUUUCUUCCUAGAAGUUCUUCUCACCUAUAGCUAAAGCAAGACGACAAACCAGGUGAAUUAUUGGAGUUGCAAGAUACACAGACUCAGUCAUCUUAAUCUUCUUUUGUAAAUAUGACUGCUGGUGCUGCUGGUAACGCUAUCCAUCGGCUUGUAACUCAUGAGAGGCAACCACAGUUGCCAACUUGAAACAUAUUUUUUUAGGAACGAAGAUCUGAAUCACCCUCACCCCUCAAGAGAAAUACUUUAGUCAUUCAGGUUCUGGAAUUUCUUUAUAGCUUUCUGAAUUUACUUCGGUCUUGCGUGUAUUUGCUUUCUGUUUGUGCCCCUAUCUAUGUCUGUUUCUUGUUGUUUCUUGUGUGCAAGUGCUCCAUUCUGUGUCUGUCUGACUGUUUGUGGCUUGAAACAUAUUGUGUGUGUGGCUUGACUGUCUGUGUGGGACUGCGAAUAUUGCAUUUGACUGUGACGUGUGACUGUGUGUGUGUGACUCUGUGUUUGACUAUGUGUGUGACUGUGAAUAUUGUGCAUUUGACUGUGAUGUGUGUGACUGUGAAUAUUGCAUUUUGGCAAUGACUGUGUGUGUGUGUGAUUGUGUGUGGCUUGACUCUAUGUGUGUGUGGGGGGCUUGUAUGUUUUGCUGAAUGA